rnacentral:rRNA from 1 species
UACGAAGGGAGCUAGCGUUGCUCGGAAUCACUGGGCGUAAAGCGCACGUAGGCGGAUCUUUAAGUCAGGGGUGAAAUCCUGGAGCUCAACUCCAGAACUGCCUUUGAUACUGGGGAUCUCGAGUCCGGAAGGGGUGAGUGGAACUCCGAGUGUAGAGGUGAAAUUCGUAGAUAUUCGGAAGAACACCAGUGGCGAAGGCGGCUCACUGGUCCGGUACUGACGCUGAGGUGCGAAAGCGUGGGGAGCAAACAGG